rnacentral:rRNA from 3 species
CCCACCUGAUUCCAUCCCGAACUCAGAAGUGAAACGAAACAGCGUCGAUGGUAGUGUGGGGUUUCCCCAUGUGAGAGUAGAACAUCGCCAGGC